GAGGCCUUAGACGGGUGGGUGGACACGGCAUGGUGGGGCUGAGGGCAUCCACCCCUCAUGCCUGGCACCCAGACCAGGCAGGGCACCUUCCCCUGUGCCGACGCCUUUCUGCCUUGAAUUUAAAAAAUUCAUUUUCUUCCCUCUCUUCUACUCAUUCCCCUGCUUCAGUCUAACAGAAAUACCUCACCAGUCACUGUUAUUUCGGGUUGCCAGAGUGGUUUUUCCCUCAGCCUGUGUUUCCUGCAGCACCUCAGGGUUCAGCCCAAUCUCCCACUUUUUACAGGUUUCUGGUUUUUAGGCGGUACCUCCACACACACAGCCCCUGCCAUCCCUCUACAACGUAAUUACUGGAGCACAUAAAGCAGUUAUAGCAGGAAUUUAUCACUUUCAGGUAGAAAUACUCCUGGCCAAGUAAAAGAUAGAGCAGGAAUGCCAGGAGCGAUUUAUAACAGGCUUACUGACAUUUCACGUGGAGAAGCUCCAUCAGUGAAUAAGCAUCAAGCUAUAAAUCUCAGAGAAAACAUGAUUAAAGCAAGCAAGUUAUUCUUUGAGGGAACUUCAUCAUAAAAGGAUGUGGUGGUGUGGAGCCACAAAAUUUGGUUGGUGACAGUCAUAGAAAACAGCUGUCAGAGCAGCAUCCCAGCUUUACCUUAUCUAGAGAGAAGGACUUCUACUUUAAUGAGUGUUAAAUCAGGGCUGAAAGUAUUUCUUAAUAAACUAUUAAUGUCUUCCAAGAAGGAGGUUCUCCAGUUUUCAGGUGUCACACUCCUCUGCUUUGGUACUUUGUUCCCUCUGGGGCUCCUGAACACUGGGAAUGGUUUGAAUUGGGAUUUUUAUUAUUUUUUUUUUGCUUUAUUUAGAGAAGGGUAAAUCUUUGUUACUAAUAUUAGCCAGAGAUGCAGGGAGAUGAGCGCUACACAGGAUGCAGAAUUGUGAAAUCUCUCAGCUCCAUUGAUCUGAGAACAUUUGUCAUCUGGGGCAAGCUGACACUUGACAGGGUGAAGCACCAUCACACUGAUUUGAAUGAUGGCAUGUUCAGCCUUUAUUAUCAAUAUCAUCAUAUCUCCUAACCUGCUUGACCCCAGAAAACACUGUCUCAGCUUUCUCUGCAUCCAUGAUAACUCCCAAUCCUUAUCCAUGAGAAGGGAAACCGUGGAGAGUCCUAAACAACAGCCUGUCCCUUGCAGUGAUGCUGUCCUUGCAGAAUCCGAGCCGGAGAGGGAUGGAUGCAGGCGUCCCCAUCCUCACGUCUCGUUUCCCUGGCACGGAGAGGAGGGCUGUUUAUUGUCAUCGACAACACGGGAGCUGCAUCAGUGCGCUUGGAUCCAGCUGUGAAAAGUGUGGCUGUGUCUCUGUAACAGCCUGUUGUUUUCUGCUGCUCAGGGAACGCCCCGCUGCGUUAAUAGCACGGCGCAGUGUCCCCCUUGCUAACAGCCCGUCAUCCCCGGCCGUGCGGACCGGCGGGAUCUCUGCCGCCGAGGGAAGCGGCUCUGCGGAAAGGAGCGACAGCCGCCGAGGCGAGCGUGGAAGUACAACAAAACCAAAGGAAAAUCACACCUUGUGAGAGACACAUGUAGCUGCCAGAUGCUCUCAGAUCUGUUUCUGGCAGGAUCUGACUGCAGCGAGUUGCUACAGAGCACAGCACCAUCCUUGACUAUCCUGGAGGAGGGAAAGGGGCAGGCAGACGUGCCCUGGGCCUGCUCUGCCCAAAGGGGAGCUUGUCCCCAAGCCCUGCAAGGUGGGGGAGUGGCACAUUCCUGGUGCCUCUUCCCACCCUGUGUGCAUGCACCAAAACACCGGGAUGCAGGAGAGGGAUGACAGCAAGGGGCACAGCUGGACAAGGCACCCUCACUCCUUUCCUUGGGCUGCAGAGGAUGAAGCUGGGACAGGAACCUGCUCCCUCAUAUUGACAAAACCAGGAUAAACUCACAAAAUAAGCUAAAUGAGUCAUUUUUCCCUUAAAAACAGUUACCAGAUGCAACCUUUACAUCCUCUUACUUGGCUGUUGUGUGCUCACCUUGUGCUCCAAAAUCCCAACUCCCAGCAUCUCCUAGGGCACGGGGGAUACUGAAAGAUGGCAAAAGGCCUCGCUGCUGAGAUGAAACUUUAAUGCAAUUUGAAGCAUUCAGAGCAGGUUACAAACAACACUUGAUCCAUAGAUCUCUUGAGUCAACCUGGCAUUUAUGUUCACAAAAUAUAAGAUGCCAAUAUAUACUGUAUAGGACAGUAAACCAGAUAAGUGCCUCAUCUUCCUUCCCUCCAGCUGAAAUAUGUUUAGUGUCUCUCCCAAUAAAUCCACGUGUGCACACACAGUCUCCAUUGUGCUGAGACAUUAUGUGGGAAUUUACAAACAUUUACAACUAAGUUAAACUGAGCCAAAGCACUGUCCUGGGCAGCCUGAAGCUAACAAAUACUUGUGUUCGAGAAAGAUGUAAAAGUCACGAGUGAUUCAUUCUCCUUAAUUUCAUAAAGGUUAAGGAGUUGGCGCUCUCGGAAAUCUGAGAAACGUCUUCCUCUGCAGUGAAUUACUGCUACCAGUUGGACAGUCAGGAGCGAAAAAAAUGAUGCAGGGAACAGAGGGAAGCAAGAAAUACAUCUCUAAAUUUGGUUUAUGCAGUAUUUAAAGUACAACUAAAGCCAUUCCAGGCAGCAUAAGGCCCACACACUUUAAAAUAAAUUCGUUGCAUGACAGAAAGCCAGUAAAGCGGUUUCGGCAGUGGUGUGAUAUAGUGAGACAGCGGCGUUGGGUACGUGCAUGAAUCAGCUCCGUGCCCCGCUGAGGCAACGAUCAUCUCCGCCGUGCUAAACUGUUAAUGUGAUUUUCAAACAAUGCAGAGCUUCACAGCAAAACCCACGCUGAAGGAUGGGCUGGGCUCGGCGGCUGACAGGGAAGGUAAAACAUCCUCGUCUACCUCGUGCUUCAUUUCAAAGUGCUGCCCAUCUGGUAAAGACCUUUUUAUGUAAAUACACCGGUACCUGAUAUUUUAUUCAUUUAGCGAAGUUCCCCAUCUGUUUUUCAACAAAUAUACAAUUAUUAUGUGAUUCAUCAUGUAAUGGGAAGGAGUGAGAGCAGAGGGAGGCGGUUCCAUCGAGUCUCACAAGCCAGCUGUUUUCCUGGGGAUUAAAAGAGCCCCCCUGGGAAGAGGGAGUCCCUCUCCUCCCAUCCGCCUGAAUGCAGAGCACACCCUGGCACCACCCCACCAGGAAAGGGUGCUCAGCUCUGACAUGCUGAGCGGCCACCACAAGUGACAGAAUGGAUCCGCUUCAUGAGAAGACUGGAAAAAAAAUGGGAAGAGGAACAGCCUCAUGCUUUGAAUUCCCCCUUUCCCCAAGCGUCUGAAUCAAAGCCUUUAACAGGCUUAGUUUGCUACUCGCGCCGCCCCUCUGAGCCCAAUUUUGCUGUGCACCCGCGGCCCUGAGAGCUCACCGUGGUCGCAGAGGCAUCAUGGGCUGCAAGCACUGACUUGAAAGACACGGCACUGCUGAGACCAUUUGGUGCAGUAAUUGGCUACAGCCAUUAGACUAGCAAGUUUUAGUAUUUCAAAUAUUGAGGGAUUUGAUCCCCAAAAGGAAAUAAUAAUAAUAAUAAAAAAGUCUGUUACACUUUCAGACUAAGCAGCGCAGUCAGCAUUGCAUUACACGGCAUUAAAUUAUUCGUUGAGCCUCAGUAGCAGGAACAUCUGCUGGUGUUAGACAUGGCGUUUUUAAUUAAAAGCAGCGGCAGAGAAGCCUGUGGUUCAUUGGUUCUGCUUUCACCGUGCGAAUUGCUAAAUCCAAAGGGCACUUGUACAAAAGAUUUGGUCAGAGCACAAGCUCUGGACCCAGCGCUGCAGAAGCGCGAGUGGAAAAGCAGCUGAGGUGACAGGUAAUUUACACCUGCACCUGCUGGGCCCAUCACCCAGCAGGGGACUUCUGAGGACGGCCACGUGGGUCAAAACUGCAGAGGAUUUUACAAAAUUGAGACUUCCCUUCUGAUUUUACCAGAAAAGGGGUUUCCUGGAGAAAGGCAAAUAACAGAGAAGAGCAAAGCAGGAAAAAAAAUUGUGCCCAGCUGGGGACCACAUUCACACCUUUGCUUCAGCAGCUGCUGGUGCUUCCCUGCUCCAGUGCUGGGCUGCAUGGAUGGAUGGCACAGACCCUCCAUAUCAAGCAGUGCCCCCCAGGAGAUUUACCUACCAAAGGAAUAAAGGCUUGAACAAGGAAUAAUUUCCAUCCCCCAUCAGCUGCCCUCCCAGACCUCUCAUCCUAAGCAUGCCAAGGCAGACCAAAAAUCAGGCCUGGGCCAGGGAUUUGAGCAUGGCUGGAAAACGGCCAAAGCUCCCGGCAGUGUGGAUACAUCCAAGGCAGAGCCAACCACAAAAAGGCCUUCUCACCCUCUUCCACCUCCCACUGCCCCAAGGCAGCCCCACAAGACUGGGUCCUCGCUAGGCAGUCUGCUCUGACAGGGCUCAGCCUUCCUGUAAUAAAACCUGAAUUAAAAUGUAUACCGACUGCCAGGUCUCAGCUCAGCUCGGCAGAUGGGCAGAGCUGAGGAACAGGGAGAGGUUCCUGUCCCAGGGUCCGGGUGCAGAAGCUUCAGCCCCACGGACACGCGCUGCUGCCUCCCCGCAGGCACAGAGGGGCCGGGAUUUCCCUCGAGGAGCCCCGCAGAUGGUGUUUGUUUGCUCAGCCACGGUAGGAAAGGAAAAUAUUUGGUGCAAUCUGCUAGCAGACAGAGACAGACAUAUGGUCGGUGCGAGGCGAGUGUGGAUGCUCAGGAAAACGCAGUCAGAGCUCUGCAGAGGCUUUUAGAUGUUGGAUUGCCCCUGAGUCGAGUGGGAUACAAGUCCAGGGAAACCUCUGAAGAACCUGGGUGAAUGUUUUGUACAGUGGUUGCUGUGGCUUGAACCCUCAUAUUAGCCCCACUCUAAUUAGUCUUAUUAUACUAUCCCUAUUGUACUAGAGUUAUUAUAAUUAACCCAAUUUUAAUUUAUGCAAACCUCAGCUCUGGCUCAACACUUACAGAAAUUCUCCCUGGUUUGAUGUCUGUUCAUCUGGCACACACAAAACACAGGUUAAAAACAACAAAGCCAAUUAAAGGCAAUUACUUGCACUUUUGGACCCAGUGGAGUCAGGAUGCAGGUGCAUCAUUGCUUUUGUUCUUUACCUGGGACUUAUGAGCCUGUUGUUAAAUGUAUCACUGCAGCUUCAAGCCUGUGGGAAAUCUUUGGGCCGGCCCAAAAAAUAACAUUCUUUUUAUUUCCCUUGCAGUUACAUUUUAAAAAUGCAAAACCCUGAUAGUUCUGAUCUCUGUUUCCCAGAUAUCAAGGUCUCUUUCUUAAUCAGGACACAUCUCCAGCUAAAGCAGCACUGGUCACCUCCAUGGAGUCGGUCAGGGAUCUCCACAUCCUGAGUCAAGGCUCAGCACCUCCAGCUUCCUCAGGAUAAAACAGAUUCCCAGGACUGCGGGGAGAAAUUUGCUGUGACUUCUUAACAGCAAACGUGCCCCACUUUAAAGAAUUCAAGUUAUUUUGGACCCCCUAACUACGCCUGAGUGCUCCAGGGCAGAGGCAGCUGCUGUGCCUGAGCACCGAGAUGAGGAUCCCUGUGGGGUGAAGUUCUGUCGUCACCACACUUAGAAAUGAUCUGUGGAGAGGGAUGGGGCCACGUCUCCAGCUCCACACCCAGAACACCUGGUAUGGUCAUACUGGUGCCUCCGCUGGUCUUGCUCUGGUGCAUGAGGAUCUCAACCCCACCUUUUAGCUUCAACAAAGCCAAAUUAAGGGGGAAAAAAUAAUAUAUCAGCAAGGAGUACAGCUGGCAUUUCUGGAGAAUAUGAAAAGUGUGGUUAAUGCUCCCUUAAUAUAAAUUAAAAUGCUCCUUCCCUGUUAAGACUUCCUUCCAAAGGCAGGAGCAGAGGGCUCCAGCAUCCCACAAAACCCAUGCCUCACACUUCUUAAAAGUGAAAGCCAGAGCUGAGCUGCAAAUAAAAGAAGUAAGGAAGUCCGUGAGGUUACUGCAGUGAUACAUGGAGGCAGGGCAGUUUCUGGGAAGGGCCCUGCGGAGGGGCUGGAGGAAGGGCUGGGGGCAGUGCACAGAGAUGCCCCUCUGAAAUGUGUCCCAGAGCUCCUGGUCUUGCUUCUCCCCUCGGUGCCAACUCACUGUGUCAUCACAAGACAGAUUUUUCUGGGCUGCAGCUUGGCCUGAACCUUUGGAAAUCUCUCAUGUGCGGAGCUCCCAGAGCAUUUUCCUGACUUGCUUACUAACUGGAGGAAACUUAAGGAACAAAAGCCACGGUGCAUCUAUAUGUGUUUACAAGUAAAGCAAGCCUGGAGCUGCCCCUGCCUGGCUGCUCAGGUACGGCGUCGAUUUCCCGGGUUCCUGGAGCAGAACGGAUUCAGUGGCUCCGCAGCCUGCUUUGCAGUGAUGGAUGGGAAUGAUUAUCGUUGUUAAUCCCACUAAGCCUACGGUCUCAACUUUUGAGGGUGCUUAAAGGAACACUUGAGGAGGAGCAUGUGAAGAUGUGUGGAGCACCUGCUCCUGUACCCCUGUCAGUAUUGACCUGAGGGCACCAUCUGGUGCAAGGAUUUUGAACAGGAAUAGUUCAGAGCAGCCAGACUGUAGGCUUCAACAGGGACUUGGACUAAGGCUCCAAACAAGGACCACACUCCUGAGUCACACCCACUGGCUGCUUUGGAGGUGGUGUUAUGCUCAAGGCUACAGGUGGGAAGGAAUAACCCAGCUGGGUCUGGUUAUGGAAAGGCAGAUCGUCCCGCUUCCUCCUCCCCAUCACACACUGGAUGUGCCUCCAUUUGUCUCUGGCUGUGAAGGAGCAGCACACACUGAAGCAGAGGGCUGGGUAAAACCCCUUCAGCUGGCAGCUGGGACACAGAGGAGAGGGCUGGGAGCUCACCCUGACCUGCUAAGGGAGGCAAGAUCCUCGAUGAUAAUCCUAUCUUC